GGGUGAUCUGGUUGCUACAUGUCAUUCCAGGUUUGAUUCGACUGAUCUGGCUAGCUAGGUGGGUGCCUCCUUCUGCUCCCUGUGUGUCCCCCCCACAAAGCCGCACACUCAGUGGAAGAGGACGAUCAUCCUAGAUACAGUAGCUGCACUCCCUUGCUAGAACUUCCAAACAAGCUAAUAGCAAACUCAGGUGAUCAGGGGGUGAUGAUUACAUUGCCAACCAGGACCACAAAAAAGAGGUAGCU